ACAAAACCCUCCACGGAGAGGUCCUCUGAGCCAGAAUGGCUCUUUUGGCCCAUCCCCUGUGAGUGGUGGAGAAUGCUCCCCUCCAUUGACAGUGGAGCCACCCGUGAGACCUCUCUCUGCUACUCUCAAUCGAAGAGAUAUGCCUAGAAGUGAAUUUGGAUCAGUGGACGGGCCUCUACCUCAUCCUCGAUGGUCAGCUGAGGCAUCUGGGAAACCCUCUCCUUCUGAUCCAGGAUCUGGUACAGCUACCAUGAUGAACAGCAGCUCAAGAGGCUCUUCCCCUACCAGGGUACUCGAUGAAGGCAAGGUUAAUAUGGCUCCAAAAGGGCCCCCUCCUUUCCCAGGAGUCCCUCUCAUGAGCACCCCCAUGGGAGGCCCUGUACCACCACCCAUUCGAUAUGGACCACCACCUCAGCUCUGCGGACCUUUUGGGCCUCGGCCACUUCCUCCACCCUUUGGCCCUGGUAUGCGUCCACCACUAGGCUUAAGAGAAUUUGCACCAGGCGUUCCACCAGGAAGACGGGACCUGCCUCUCCACCCUCGGGGAUUUUUACCUGGACACGCACCAUUUAGACCUUUAGGUUCACUUGGCCCAAGAGAGUACUUUAUUCCUGGUACCCGAUUACCACCCCCAACCCAUGGUCCCCAGGAAUACCCACCACCACCUGCUGUAAGAGACUUACUGCCGUCAGGCUCUAGAGAUGAGCCUCCACCUGCCUCUCAGAGCACUAGCCAGGACUGUUCACAGGCUUUAAAACAGAGCCCAUAAAACUAUGACCUCUGAGGUUUCAUUGGAAAGAAAGUGUACUGUGCAUUAUCCAUUACAGUAAAGGAUUUCAUUGGCUUCAAAAUCCAAAAGUUUAUUUUAAAAGGUUUGUUGUUAGAACUAAGCUGCCUUGGCAGUGUGCAUUUUUGAGCCAAACAAUUCAAAAAUGUCAUUUCUUCCCUAAAUAAAAAUCACCUUUUAAGCUAGAGCGUCCUUACAACUUUGAAAUGUGCAAUAAAGAAUACCUGUGUUUUAG
rnacentral:lncRNA from 1 species